rnacentral:rRNA from 1 species
UCCUACGGGAGGCAGCAGUGGGGAAUAUUGGACAAUGGGCGCAAGCCUGAUCCAGCCAUGCCGCGUGUGUGAAGAAGGCCUUAUGGUUGUAAAGCACUUUAAGCGAGGAGGAGGCUACUUUAGUUAAUACCUAGAGAUAGUGGACGUUACUCGCAGAAUAAGCACCGGCUAACUCUGUGCCAGCAGCCGCGGUAAUACAGAGGGUGCAAGCGUUAAUCGGAUUUACUGGGCGUAAAGCGCGCGUAGGCGGCUAAUUAAGUCAAAUGUGAAAUCCCCGAGCUUAACUUGGGAAUUGCAUUCGAUACUGGUUAGCUAGAGUGUGGGAGAGGAUGGUAGAAUUCCAGGUGUAGCGGUGAAAUGCGUAGAGAUCUGGAGGAAUACCGAUGGCGAAGGCAGCCAUCUGGCCUAACACUGACGCUGAGGUGCGAAAGCAUGGGGAGCAAACAGGAUUAGAUACCCUAGUAGUCCA